CAGCCGCCGCGGUAACACCGAGGGUGCGAGCGUUAAUCGGAUUUACUGGGCGUAAAGCGUGCGUAGGCGGCUUCUUAAGUCGGAUGUGAAAUCCCUGAGCUUAACUUAGGAAUUGCAUUCGAUACUGGGAAGCUAGAGUAUGGGAGAGGAUGGUAGAAUUCCAGGUGUAGCGGUGAAAUGCGUAGAGAUCUGGAGGAAUACCGAUGGCGAAGGCAGCCAUCUGGCCUAAUACUGACGCUGAGGUACGAAAGCAUGGGGAGCAAACAGGAUUAGAUACCCGCGUAGUCCCUGUCUCUUAUAC
rnacentral:rRNA from 1 species